rnacentral:rRNA from 1 species
AUUGAACGCUGGCGGCAGGCCUAACACAUGCAAGUCGAGCGAGCGGCGGACGGGUGAGUAAUGUAUGGGGUCCGCCCGCUAGAGGGGGAUAACUCCUGGAAACGGUAGCUAAUACCGCAUACUAUAGGAUAACCCAUAUGGGAUUAGCUAGUAGGUGAGGUAAUGGCCCACCAAGGCGACGAUACCUAGCUGGUCUGAGAGGAUGAUCAGCCGCACGGGGACUGAGACACGGCCCAGAGUCCAAGGGAGGCAGCAGUGGGGAAUAGUGGACAAGGGGGGCAAGCCUGAUGCAGCCAUGCCGCGUGUAUGAAGAAGACCCCAGGGGGGGAAAGAACGUGCAGUCGGGAGGCGGUACCGACAGAAGAAGCACCGGCUAACUCCGUGCCAGCAGCCGCGGUAAUUC